rnacentral:rRNA from 1 species
UCGAUCUCAAAUCAGGCAAGGCUACCCGCUGAAUUUAAGCAUAUCAAUAAGCGGAGGAAAAGAAACUAACCAGGAUUCCCCUAGUAACGGCGAGUGAAGAGGGAAGAGCUCAAAUUUGGAAUCUGCCGGGUCGUACCUGUGCAGAAUUGUAGUUUUGUGAACGGCCUUACGGAGCGGCGACUUGCGAUCGAAGUCCAUUGGAACAUGGCGCCUGAGAGGGUGAGAGCCCCGUUCAUGGUCGCAGGAUUUUCGCCGUUCGACACGUACUGCCGUCUCGACGAGUCGGGUUGUUUGGGAGUACAGCCCUAAAUCGGGUGGUAAAUCUCAUCUAAAGCUAAAUACUGGCGAGAGACCGAUAGCGAACAAGUACCGUGAGGGAAAGAUGCAAAGAACCCUGAAAAGAGAGUUAAAAGUGCUUGAAAUUGUCAAAAGGGAAGCGAUUGGCACCAGUGUCUUGCGCGCGGUGAAAUCAGCCGGACUGCUAUGUUGGCUGGUGUUUGCAGGUCGAGGGGUCCCUGGCGGCCUCCGACGUGCAGACGCCGGGCCUUCGCAGAACGGUGCACUUUCGCCGCUGCGCGUGUCAGCGUCGAUUGGCGGUGGUCGAGAAGAUGGGUSCCCGGAAGGUGGGCAGGCGCUGGCAACAGCGCUUGUCGUUACAGCCGGGUGCACGCGGUAUCGCCCCACGCCGAUCGAGGCGUCUUCACGGACGUUUCAACGAGCGGUCUUCGGAUCGGGAGACUGCGCUGCCUGACUGGUCCCGACGGCCGUGAACAGCUUGCUGUGCUCGUCGAUCGGUGGCCGGUCACCGCGGCGCUAUCGCCAGCUCGUUAGGGAUGCUGACGAAAUGGUGUCAAUCGACCCGUCUUGAAACACGGACCAAGGAGUCUAACAUGUAUGCGAGUAUUCGGGUGGCAAACCCUGGAUGCGCAAUGAAAGUGAAACUGGUGGGAAGCGAGGCGAGUCAAAUCGUCGAGCAGCACCAUCGACCGCUCUGGAGAUUCUUCGAUAGAUGUGAGUGGGAGCAUACCUGUUGGGACCCGAAAGAUAGCGAACUAUGCUUGCAUAGGGUGAGGCCAGAAGAAAUUCUGGUGGAGGCUCGUAGCGAUACUGACGUGCAAAUCGUUCGUCAAAUGUGAGUAUAGCGGCGAAAGACUAAUCGAGCUAUCUAGUAGCUGGUUUCCUCCGAAGUUUCCCUCAGGAUAGCUGGAACUUUGUCGUAAACAGUUUCAUCGGGUAAAGCGAAUGAUUAGAGGAUUUGGGGUUGAAACAACCUUAACCUAUUCUCAAACUUUAAAUAGGUGAGACGGGCCCGUUGCUUCGGUGAACGGGCUUCUCGAAUGGAGAGUUCCAAGUGGGCCGUUUCUGGUAAGCAGGACUGGCGAUGCGGGAUGAACCGAACGUCGAGUUAAAGUGCCCAAAUGCACGCUCAUCAGACACCAGAAAAGGUGUCGAUUCAUUUUGACAGCAGGACGGUGGCCAUGGAAGUCGGAACCCGCUAAGGAGUGUGUAACAACUCACCUGCCGAAUGAAUCGGCCCUGAAAAUGGAUGGCGCUCAAGCGUGCUACUUAUACUCGACCUUCGGGGCAAAUGCGAGGCCCCGAAGAGUAGGAGGACGUGGAGAUCGUGACGCAACCUUUGGGCGUGAGCCCGGGUGAAACGGUCUCUAGUGCAGAUCUUGGUGGUAGUAGCAAGUAAUCAAAUGAGAACUUUGAUGGCUGAAGUGGCGAAUGGUUCCGUGUGAACAGCAAUUGGACACGGGUGAGUCGAUCCUGAGAGAUAGGGUAACUCCGUUACAAAGGUGCGGCAUCCGGCUCGCUGGGCGCCGCCUACUAUCGAAAGGGAAGCAGGUUAAUAUUCCUGCACCGGAGCUCGGAUAUCGUGUCGCCGCAAGGCGGCACUCAAGUGUGGCAACACAAGCGAACCUCGAGACGUCGGCGGAGGCCCUGGGAAGAGUUCUCUUUUCUUUUUGACGGCCACAAACAGCCUCAUCGCGAAAGACCCUGGAAUCAGAUUACCUGGAGAUAGGGUUCGAUGGCCGGCAGAGUGCCGCAAUUUCUGCGGCAUCCGGUGCGCCUCCGACGGCCCCUGAAAAUCGAGGGGAGACAAUGAUUUUCGAGCCCGGUCGUACACAUAACCGCAUCAGGUCGCCAAGGUGAAUAGCCUCUAGUCGAUAGAAUAAUGUAGGUAAGGGAAGUCGGCAAAAUAGAUCCGUAACUUCGGGAAAAGGAUUGGCUCUAAAGGUUGGGCCUUGGGGUCUGCGCGGCGAGGCCGGAUGUGCGGACGAAUCACUACGGGCGGCUGGGCGACCGGCUGCCUGUGGAGGUUUGACUGCGCGCCGGCGUUAGCUGCGCAGAGUUUGGCGGCGGCGGGCAACCGACGUCGUCGAUUUCCCUUGGCGAUUAACAACCGAUUUAGAACUGUUUCGGACAAGGGGAAUCCGACUGUUUAAUUAAAACGAAGCAUUGCGAUGGUCGCAACCGAUGUUGACGCAAUGUGAUUUCUGCCCAGUGCUCUGAAUGUCAAAGUGAAGAAAUUCAACCAAGCGCGGGUAAACGGCGGGAGUAACUAUGACUCUC